UGUUCUCGCGCCGGUAGGCGCAGGGGUCUUCUGUCCGCCCUCUGCUCCAGAGCCCGGGAGCUCCGGCCAGGUUUCUCCCUCGCACACGACAUUACUCAUCCUGGCUCUGGGAGGAAACUCAAGAAGAAGCUUUCAAGACUUUAAGAUUAGAUGGGGCUUGACAUCUGCUGGGCAACCCCUAGCUAUAGGAGUUCCCCUGCUGAGCAGAGACUAUGACUACAGAAUUGAAAGAGGCCAUGGCCCUGGCUCCUUGGGGCCCAGUGACGGUGAAAAAGGAGGAAGAAGAAGAGGAAAGCUUCGUGGGUCAGGCCUCCAGCCAACAAGUGCACUCUGAAAACAUCAAAGUCUGGGCUCCUCUGGAGGGUCCUCAGACAAGCCUCUAUGUAUCAGAACAGGAAGAAAAGGGUCAGAACGUGUUCUGGGACAUGGCUGUAGUCCUGAAACCAACACAGGAGGUGCCUGUUGCAUCAACCCCAGGCAGCUCCUCAUUUCCGGGGACUCUGGUCAAGAGCAAGCUACUGGACACUCAUGGGAACAUGACUUAUCUAGGUGCUGAAACCAAGAACCCACCAUUAUUGAUUCCAAAAACUGAGAUAUGUGAUGAAGCAGAAAAACCCUUCAUAAUAUCAGGAAGAAUCCAGAAAGUUGACCCUCGAGGACCUGAGUUAGGAGAAGCCUGUGAGAAAGGGAGUGUGUUAAAGAGGCAGAGAAUAAAGAGGGAAAAGAAAGAUUUAAGAAAAGUGACAGUGAAGGACUGUCCCAUGCCUGAGAACUUCAAAGAAGAGGAAGACCAGAAGUGUCACAAAUCUGAGGAGAGAUACAGCCUUGGUUCUGGCUCUGUUAAAAAUCAGAAAAGCCAGCUUGGACAGAAACCUUUUACAUGUAGCGUGUGUGGGAAAGGCUUUAGUCAGAGCGCAAACCUCGUAGUGCACCAGCGAAUCCACACUGGAGAGAAACCCUUCGAAUGUCAUGAGUGUGGGAAGGCCUUCAUUCAGAGUGCAAACCUUGUUGUGCAUCAGCGAAUCCACACUGGACAGAAACCAUAUGUUUGUUCAAAGUGUGGGAAAGCCUUCACUCAGAGUUCAAACCUGACUGUACAUCAAAAAAUCCACUCCUUAGAGAAAACCUUUAAGUGCAGCGAAUGCGAGAAAGCCUUCAGUUACAGCUCACAACUUGCCCGGCACCAGAAAGUCCACAUUACAGAAAAGUGCUAUGAAUGUAACGAGUGUGGGAAAACAUUUACUCGGAGCUCAAACCUCAUUGUCCACCAGAGGAUCCACACCGGGGAGAAGCCCUUCGCCUGUAAUGACUGUGGCAAAGCCUUCACCCAGAGCGCAAAUCUUAUCGUGCAUCAGCGAAGCCAUACUGGUGAGAAGCCAUACGAGUGCAAAGAGUGUGGAAAAGCCUUUAGUUGUUUUUCACACCUUAUUGUGCACCAGAGAAUCCACACCGCGGAGAAACCUUAUGACUGCAGCGAGUGCGGGAAGGCCUUCAGUCAGCUCUCUUGCCUUAUCGUGCACCAAAGGAUUCACAGCGGGGACCUUCCGUACGUGUGUAACGAGUGUGGGAAGGCCUUCACCUGCAGCUCGUACCUGCUAAUUCAUCAGAGGAUCCAUAAUGGGGAGAAGCCGUACACGUGCAGCGAGUGUGGCAAGGCCUUCCGGCAGAGGUCAAGCCUCACGGUACACCAGAGAACCCACACAGGGGAGAAGCCCUACGAGUGUGCCAAGUGCGGUGCGGCCUUCAUCUCCAACUCGCACCUCAUGCGCCACCACAGAACCCAUCUCGUCGAGAGCACAUAGAGGAUGAGGAAGACCUCCAGGCACCAGUCAGAACCUCCCACCCCCCAAGUCAGACACCUCUUGGCCGUUUUCUCCUCCUUGGUGAAAACGAAGCCUGCUCUGUCCUUAAAAGUAACAGUUUUCAGGCGUGCAGCACAAAACACAAGAAGGGCAUUUCAGAGGCUAAAGAAAAUGAAAACGAAGGCCUCAAGGCAAGGAUCUUGUUUUUAACUUGGUGCCCCAAGUGGUCAUGUUGUCUGAAGUGGAAUGUGGCUUUCUUAGAAGUGGGUCAUACAGCACUCAGUGAUAAAGAUCCCUUUGGGGAAAGGCAUUUUUCACUUAACUUUGUUUUUGAAAACUCUGGUAAUUUCUUGGGCAAUAGCCUGGUUACUGGUGUAGGUCUGCCUGAUGGAAUUCUGGAGAUUUGAACCUUGUAUUUUAUUAUUUUGGGUCAAGCAGUGACUCAUUAAGGAAACCACUUGGGGUAGCAAUUCACCAACAACUCACCUGUGAACAUUUAUAAGUUUUCCAUUCCCUAGAUAAUUUUUUUAAUUAUUAAACAAACAAACAAACAAACAACACCCUACUAACCGUCUACUGCUCCUAAAAUGGAUGGAAGUAGGAAACAGUCAUUUGCCUGAUCGUUUGUACCUUAUGAAUGUUGGUAUGGUAAAGCCCUGGGGACCUCCGGCGAGUCUCUCCUGACUGUUUCCCAGCCUGCAUGGCCAAGCACUUGAGGACUGAUGGAGACAGCACACUGGGGGCACAGAUGCUGCUGGGCUUUGUUCCUUUACUAAGGUCAACAACUCUUCAAAUAACCCCAGUUGCCAUUGCAUCCCAUUUGAGUGAGACGCUGCUAACAGCCCCCUCUCCAGUUAGAGGAGGCAGAGAAUAAAGCUUCUCUGGGGGCACGCCCACUUUGUCCCUGCUCUCACUCUGCUCAGGCCCAGGCAGGGGGCUCAGUUUGGGUGUCAUUGUCACUUUCUGGAUGGUCUUUAGAAGAAAUAAUGGAGCCCUUCUAACUCUGAGAGGACCCAAGAGGGAAAUGAAAAGAGAGGGAGGAGGCAGAGUGGGCUUCCUAAGGUCUUAAUUUGUUUUCUUAGAAGUUCAAAGGUAUUGGAAUAUGAAAACUUUUAGAAGGAUAGACUGGCUAAGGUCUGGAUUUCCACAAAUCUGCACCCAGGUUCAGGACUCCCGAUCCUACACAAAUCAUGUGAGCCUAGUAGGUUACUAGACAGAUCAGAUCCUUCCCUAACUUAUAACAACUUUCCCUCCCAAUUAAACUCCCGCCCUCAAAAUAAAUUACCACCCACUUUUUCUAUAGGGUUGCUGAUAGGAAAGGAGUGACUACCCUUUGUUGUCAGACUUGGCUUAGGUUUUCCUUUUCCUGGGGGUCAUCUCCCUUGUUUCUGGGCUGGUCUCUUCUCCCUUCUUUCUGAGCUGGUGUUGCCAGAAGUAAGUGAGAACUCUGAAGCCCCAUUUUCUUAAGUUGCCAAGAGUUAUCUUGUAGCUCUCAGACAAAAAGCUUAGCAUUAAGGGUAGAGCCAAGAAGUCUGUUUUUACCCUUGAAUGAGACCAACAGAUGUCUGAUCUGUUAUGUAGAGCACAGGGAUGCGACAGUGAAAUCAUGUACAGGUGCUUUGGGGACAUGGUGGGGGAGGGGCGGAUUCUUCAUCAACACACACACAUACACACACACACACCCCCUCUCAAACACAGUUGGCUGUGAAUUCCUCCAGGCUCAGGAACCUAAUUCUUUCUCUGUGCUCUGGAUCCCCUCCCUGCCCUAGGUGGUCGUUCUUCUCCCACUUCUGUUACUUCUCCCCUUGUAUGCCUAACCUUUCUGGGGUCACAGCCCCUUUGAGAAUCUGAUGGAGGUUGUAGAUCCUCUUCAGGAGAAACUCAAUUGCACACUCAGUUUUGUGCUUAUUUGUGGGGGCAUAUAAGUUCCCUGAGGCCAAUCCAUGCAUCCCUCCAGGGCCUCAAGUCACACCUGGGGAUGCAGUACAUAAUCGCCUGCACGUGCUACAAAAUGGUGACUUUUUAAAAAAUGAGGUCAGACUACGGAAUCUCUAAGGAUGUUGCCCAGACACACAACCUUUUCAAUCUUGCUUCUCCUGGCUUCCCUCCCUCAGCAAAUGGUGGCUUUGUCCAGCACCGAGACUGGAAACCCAGGAGGCAUUUCUGGCUUCCGAUGCAUUGAUUACUAAAAUAUUUAUUAUGCACCCUCUUUGUGGCAAACAUGGUGCUAGAUCCAGGGGUGCCAAAGCAAACAAGGUCUACCAUACCCCCUUUCCAUGUCUCUCAUGAGAAAGAUGUCUGCAUCCCUCAACGUGAUUUACUAAGCUCUUCAUAAGCUGUUCCCAGUCUCAUCACCUCACUUCUCAUGCACCUUUACUGCAGCCUGGAGGCACGUGCUUGCUCUUCUCGUGCCUUUGCUCACACUGUCCUUGGUGCCUGUGAUACCUCACCACCACGCCCCACAGCCCCUGUCUGCUUUUCUGAACAUUUGGUUUCUUUUAAGAUUUGGCUCAAGCCCAUCUCUGGGAAACCUCUGACUGCCCUAUGGCCAAGAAGUAUAUUUAGAAGUAUAGAAGAGCAUGAUAUUUGUAUCCAGAGUUUUACUUUAUGCUUUAAAGUGAAAAAAAUCUGGAUUCAAGAUUGUGUGUAUAGUACUGUUCUCAUAUAAUGUUGUUACGUACACUACAUACUAUGUAAACGUAUAUAGAUAAAUUACAUGAAGGAAAUAUAAGAAAAUGUUAUAAAUGGUUAAGUGACUUGUUCAGAGCCAUACAAAUGGUAAGUUGCAGAGCUUGGGCUCAAACCCAGGUCCUAGCGAUAAUGGAAUUAUGGGUGAUUAAAAGUUUUUUUUAAAGUAAUUUUCAUAUUUUUUAUAAGGAACAAAAAUUUUAUAAUCAGGAAAAAAUAAAUUAUUUAUUAUAAUUACAAAUUUAGUUUUAUUGUAUUAACUAUAAACAGUAUCUCAGUUCUCCAUUUUGUAGAAUGUGGGAUGCAGCCUGCUUCUGUCUCCUCCCCCAUCCACCUCUUUGCCUCUGACAAUGUCAAGUCUGAUAAUCCUUGAAUUCGGUUCUGUAACCAUAGUCUUAUGCUUUGUUUAUUGAUUUGUUCUGAAAGUUGGAAUAAACAGCAUGAAUGUUA